AUAUAUGACAGCUCUUCUCAAAAGGAACAUGACUCGAAACACGGUUUCAGUUACAUAUUCUUUUGUAUGUUCCUUUAAAAAAAAAAAAAAAAAACAGUGUUGAAACCAUGGCAGAUUAUUUUUACUAUAGAUUUUUUUUUACUGCAACCUGCAUACUGCAUGAAGGCAUUUCAUCUGAAGUUUUUUUUUGCCAAGACUUGUCAACUCAACCAUCUCCCCCACACAGAAAGACAAGAACCUGGGUAUAAUGUCAGACAACUGUAUUUUGGUCUGAUUAUAAAACAUUUGCAAGAUUUUUUCUUACCUGCUCAGAUUCUGCUCCAGGCCUCAGUCUGAACCCAUCUUCACUCCUGCAACUUACUUCAAAGCUGGCCUCACUUGGAAACGUACUGUUGGUUCUUUUGAUUUGAUCAAUGCAUGAAUAUUUACAUACUGAAUAUGAAUGAAUAUUGAGAUUGAAUUGUUUUAACUAUAUCACAUUUAGAAAAAAUGCUUUGAAAUACGAGAGAUAACGCCUUGUGGUCAUUCUAAUUUGGGUAAACAAAUAAGCAAGUAUUUAUGUUAUGUUCACUCUCCAUUCUGCUAUUUGAACCUCCACAUAUAAAAAAAUUGGCAAAGGAAAAAAAAUCUGCUAAAUAUUUACUUGCAGUCCGGGUUAUUGAGGACCUAAUGGCUUCUAUCUGUCUUCCAAGAAUGCAGGUUAUUAUAUGGUAUGCCGAUCUCACUUGGCUCCAGCUGAUCACCAACUGCUUCAUUAUACACUGUAAGAUUCAUUUCCAUACAAUUAUUUUUCUUUUUUUUCCCUUAAUCUGUUUCAAAAGACUGUGAUUUUACAACAAGAACAUUUCAGGUGAUUUGAUAGAAGAAGAAAAAAAAACACUAAUUAACAAACAAACUCUAUUGACCACUAUUAUUACAUUAAAUGCAAAAUGCUUUAUUCAGAUUUUGCUCUUUCAGCUCUCUUGGUAGGUUCUGUAAAUCCAUUAAACUGUUCAGAACCAACAACAAAAUCGCUCCUUAGUGCCAUGAAAGAGGAAGUCAUCCUCUACAGCGAUGCAAGACCAGUUAUAAGUCUGAGCACUCCCACCAACGUCACCGUGGACUUGACUCUCUAUGGAAUCUUAGGAGUGGUCAGCAACUUUGACUUAAGAUUUACAAAACCAUGACAUUUUUAUAGUACUAAUCCCACUUAAUAUUAUAGAAAUGGUUACAAGUUGGUAUAUUUUCCCUUUCAGAAUGAAAAAUCACAGGUGUUGGAAACAUAUCUGUGGGUGAGGAUGGUAAGACUCAACAAAUACACUGUUUAGACAAGGGAUGUGUGAUAUUGACAAAAAAAAAAAUCCCAAUCCUUUUCCAAUCAUGAUAAUUAAACAAUAUUAUUUUUCAAAAUGUUGCUGAGAUAUUGCUGAGUGUGUUUUUGUACCUUGGCUGGUUUAGGUCUGUCUUGGAUAAAUAAAUAAGACACAAAAACAACCA
ensembl:lncRNA